rnacentral:rRNA from 1 species
UACGGGGGGGGUAAGCGUUGUUCGGAAUUACUGGGCGUAAAGGGCUCGUAGGCGGCCAACUAAGUCGGACGUGAAAUCCCUCAGCUUAACUGGGGAACUGCGUUUGAUACUGGAUGGCUUGAGUUUGGGAGAGGGAUGCGGAAUUCCAGGUGUAGCGGUGAAAUGCGUAGAUAUCUGGAGGAACACCGGUGGCGAAGGCGGCAUCCUGGACCAAUACUGACGCUGAGGAGCGAAAGCUAGGGGAGCAAACGGG